UACGGAGGAUGCAAGCGUUAUCCGGAUUCAUUGGGUUUAAAGGGUGCGUAGGCGGCCUGUUAAGUCAGUGGUGAAAUCCUGCCGCUUAACGGUAGAAUUGCCAUUGAUACUGAUGGGCUUGAGUCCAGUUGAGGUAAGCGGAAUGUGUAGUGUAGCGGUGAAAUGCUUAGAUAUUACACAGAACACCGAUUGCGAAGGCAGCUUACUAAACUGUCACUGACGCUGAUGCACGAAAGCGUGGGGAUCGAAC
rnacentral:rRNA from 1 species